AUGGCGGUGGCGGCGCCGGGGCAGCUGAACCUCGACGAGUUCCCCUCCUGGGGCUCCCGCGGCGUCGACUGCUUCGAGAAGCUCGAGCAGAUCGGCGAGGGCACCUACGGGCAGGUGUACAUGGCCAAGGAGACGGAGACCAACGAGAUCGUCGCGCUCAAGAAGAUCCGCAUGGACAACGAGCGCGAGGGCUUCCCCAUCACGGCGAUCCGCGAGAUCAAGAUCCUCAAGAAGCUCCACCACCAGAACGUCAUCCAGCUCAAGGAGAUCGUCACCUCCCCAGGCCCGGACCGAGACGAGCAAGGGAAGCCAAUCGACGGCAACAAGUACAAGGGGAGCAUCUACAUGGUCUUCGAGUACAUGGACCACGACCUCACCGGACUCGCCGACAGGCCCGGGAUGCGCUUCACCGUGCCGCAGAUCAAGUGCUACAUGAAGCAGCUGCUCACAGGCCUGCACUACUGCCACGUCAAUCAGGUGCUGCAUCGAGAUAUCAAAGGUUCUAACCUUUUGAUAGACAAUGAGGGUAACCUCAAGCUGGCUGAUUUUGGGCUUGCGAGGUCGUUCUCUAGUGAUCACAAUGGCAACCUGACUAACCGUGUCAUCACCUUAUGGUAUAGACCUCCAGAACUGCUUCUCGGAAGCACAAGGUAUGGUCCAGCUGUUGACAUGUGGUCUGUGGGUUGUAUUUUUGCUGAGCUUCUCAAUGGAAAGCCAAUCCUGCCAGGGAAGAAUGAGCCGGAGCAGCUGACCAAAAUUUUCGAGCUUUGUGGCACCCCUGACGAGUUAAUCUGGCCUGGUGUCACUAAGAUGCCGUGGUACAACAACUUCAAGCCUCCCAGAGUAUUGAAGAGAAAAGUUAAAGAUGCCUUUAAACAUUUUGACCGGCAUGCUCUGGACCUGUUGGAGAGGAUGUUAACUUUAGAUCCAUCACAGAGGAUACCAGCGAAGGAGGCACUUGAUGCAGAGUAUUUCUGGACUGAUCCCUUGCCAUGUGACCCGAAAAGUUUGCCAUCGUAUGAGGCAUCACACGAAUUCCAGACUAAGAAAAAACGUCAGCAGCAGAGGCAAGCGGAGGAAGCUGCAAAGCGCCAAAAAAUAAAUCAUCCUCCCCCACAUUCUCGCUUGCCUCCGAUCCAGCAUCCAGGCCAAUCACACCAGAUCAGGCCUGGCCAUGCGCCACCUGUGGCAGGUGGCUCGAGCCACUAUGCGAAACCUCGGGGACCUGGAGGGCCUAACAGGUACCCGCAGGGUGGGAACCAAGGCGCAGGCUAUAAUAACCCGAACCGCGGAGGGCAAGGCAGUGGCUAUGGCAGCGCCCCGUAUCCUCAGCAAGGAAGAGGACCUCCUCCGUUCCCUGCAGCAGGUGCUCCACGCGGUGGUGCCGGCAGUGGCUAUGGAGUCGGUGGCCCAAAUUACCCACCAGGCGGUCCGCCGUAUGGCACGUCUGGUCCAGGCCGAGGAGGCCCCAACUAUCCUCAAGGCGGUUCUCGCAAUCAGCAGCAGUAUGGUAGCUGGCAAUAA
rnacentral:rRNA from 1 species